rnacentral:rRNA from 1 species
UACGUAGGGGGCAAGCGUUAUCCGGAUUUACUGGGUGUAAAGGGAGCGUAGACGGCAGAGCAAGUCCGGAGUGAAAGCCCGGGGCCCAACCCCGGGACUGCUCUGGAAACUGUUAAGCUGGAGUGCGGGAGGGGCAGGCGGAAUUCCUGGUGUAGCGGUGAAAUGCGUAGAUAUAUGGAGGAACACCGGUGGCGAAAGCGGCUCUCUGGCCUGUAACUGACACUGAGGCUCGAAAGCGUGGGGAGCAAACAGG